rnacentral:RNase_P_RNA from 1 species
AAGUGGGAUAGUCAACUUUCGGAAGUUAGCUAUUAAAUUAGCAAGGGUUUAGAAUAAACACUUACUUCUGAGGAAGGUCCGCCCAUCUCGAUAAUGUUAUCGACUCUCUCGAGAGAGAACCAUCCAUGAAAAUGGAUUGCUGUGAGGCAAAGCUCUGUUACAGAAACGACACAGCUUUCCCGGAGUAAGGACUCAUGCGAUGAACAACGAAGGGAAAGAUUUGAUGAAACGAGCAUCUUGGUUGAUGCAAGGGAAGCUUGAGGUGUAAGCUAUACUGCUUAGUCAAAUGUUGACAUGUUUCGUCCAAUAAGGGAAACAACAAAAGGCGGCCUAUUUCCCACUU